rnacentral:lncRNA from 1 species
UUUUUUUUUUUUUUCUUAAAUGGAUGAACGAAAGAAAGAAAGAGGGAAAGGGGGAAAAAAAGAAAGGAGUACUUCAAAUUUUUGAGCUGACCUGAAGCACCAAGGGAUCUGGCAUCUGAAGCAAUGGAGUAAUGAGAAGCCAUGUGUCCAGGUCUAUGCGCGAUGAGCAGAAACACAGACUCUUCUGGCCACCCUGGUUUUUGAACAUGGGGGUUUGGUGCUCUAAAUAGAGUCUGAAGUGAGGCAUGGAUACAAACAUCUCUUCAUACUAGCAGCCGAAGCCUACAUCAACCUGGAAAAGCAUGUAUGUAAGUGUGAAUCAAGACAGAAGAAAGGGCAGGUAGAGGCUCCCAGUAAGCAGGAGGAGUGAUGUGCCUGACAGAGCUGAAGCCAGCUGGACUUCAAAUGUGCCAAAAAGCCUUCCUGAACUGCAACCUUACAGCUGCUGUACCAAAACAGUCUCAGAAGAGGAUCUCACCAUCCAAUGCUUUAGACUACUCUCUCUGCACCAAAACAACCUGAGUUUGAGAUGAGUCCAGGCUAAAAACACAUGUAUACUUGAGGUUACUGUUAUGGACCCCUUGUUUCUGUAUCUUGUGUAAUUUCGCAUUUUUUUAACAAGUAGGAGCACUACCCCACGUGUGUGAUGUGAAGGUGUGUGUCAAUUAAAGGUGUGAAAAUAUUUACAGCAAAAGGCUCUGUCUAGAGUAAUAACAGAGAAGCCAAGAGGCUUGUGGUUCAGUAACAAGUUCAUUCAGAAAUUCACAAGGCAGUGUGACAGCUGGAGUGAGGAAAGACUUGUGGCAAUAUUUCUUUAAGAAUUGCAUGAUGAAAAAAUAAUAAUAAACGUUAACAAUGUUUUUUGUUAUUUCCUCCCCUUUUUUUUUUCUUCUUUCCCAUGAUAUAAACAAUGGUACUCUGGUCAUAAGCCAAAACCUGACAAAGAUCCAAGGUUGAAAGGGUUUUCUUUGAGCCUGUCUUCCUGGUAUAAUUAUUGUAGAUUCAGAGGAACCAGAUCUGGAGUGUUGUAAAACUCAACACAAUGAACUUGACAGACAGCCAGAUUUCUGUUUUCAGCCAGUUUAGGGUUACUAUAAUCUCAUUAUUAUGCUUGAAAGACGACAAGUAAUAGAAUCUCAGGUAGCCGUUCUGUCGUUACUCAGCCGCAUCUUCUCUUUUAUGCCGAUUUCCCUUGAUUACCUGAACUAGUGAGGCUCGGUUUUCAACCACUUAUCUUCCAGAAAUAAUCAUCUGAUCAGCCUUACAAGGUUCUCACUGCACUCAACGGUUUUAAUGGGUCAAGCGUUAAAUUAACCCUUUAACCAUAUCCCAGGAGAAUACAAAACUUAUUAAAAAACAAUUUACUAUUCAGUCAUUGUUAACUUUGCAAAGGAGAAGGAGUUCCUUAGCCAGCUUUGCUUGUUCCCUCCACUCAUGUCCUGUUUUACUGAAUCUUUGCUCUUACUAACACAUAAAAUCUUUUUAAAGCUUCUGCCUAAGGAAACAUUCUUUUGGUUUCUUACUUUUACAGAAGCAUAAAAUGAAACCACAGCAAAAGCUGAGUAUCUUACAUUCUAUUUUAACAAUUUUUUACAAAGGUUAAUUAAUUUUUCCAUGUAUGGAAAACCACAUCUGCAAAAAUGUAACUCAUGUCAGUCGGUGUUGUAUCACAUGCAGAAUUAUAAGGCUUGUGAAACUCUUAUGGACUUGCCUAUAUGAUGGAAAGGGUUUGCAACACUGUCUGCUAUGGGAGAAUGUUUGCGCAAGCCUCAGCUACAGCAGGGAAGCAGCCGAGCAAGAGGUCACUUACCCCUGUGGAUCUGCGUUGGUGUGCAGAGCAGUCAGCAGCUGCGCUGCCGCUUCCAGCCUCCCCAGAAAACUCUGGAGUCCCCUCUGGGAGGAGGCUGGAGGCAGGAGCCCAAGCAAUGCUCCCUGGCUUCAUGCUUUCAUAGGACAGUUCACAGCCAGCAGAAAUGUGCCUUCUGCCCUGACUCAUCCCAAAGUUGCUGAAACCAAGGGAGGUGUGAGAAGAUGUGUCUCUGGAGGAGCAGCCUUGGCAAAGCUGCUUCUAGGAGUAGGAGCAGCUGCACCGUCUGGGAAAGCAGCUGCACCAUCAGGAGGGGCUUGAACAAGAGGCAGAUGGCAUCACUGACUGCAGUACCAGACCUUAGUUGUUCUUGUGAAGCUAAGGCCUCCUUCACACAAGAACUCCUUUGGCGGAGCAGCCUAUCCAUGCCACAAAGGGACAAACUCUCCCUUUCAGCCAUACUCCAACAGCAAAAAAGAGACAAGAAAAGAAGUAUUUCAUGUAAACCAAGGCCAAAAAGAGCCUCA